GUCGCAGUGGCUCAGUAGGGUAGAGGUUUGGCUAUGGCGCAGAAGGUCGAGGGUUCGAACCCCCACUGUGGUA